AAAAAAGACAAACAUUGGUUUCCGUGUCCAACGUUUAACCGUCUGUCUUAUUUGAAAAAAUUAUGAAAAAAAAAUAAAAAGACAAGUCACACAUAAAAUAUUAAUCAUGUUUUAUCAUCUAACAACAAUGAAAAUACGAAUUAUAAAAUAAUUUCAUAUAAGACGGACAGUCAAAGUUGGACACGGAAACUCAGGGUUUGUCUUUUU
rnacentral:pre_miRNA from 1 species